CAUUACAGAGUUCAUGCCCUUCGGGGUAGAUCUCCCACCCGUGUUAUCAUACCAUUGUUGCUUUGGCGGGCCCGCCUCGGCCACCGGCUCCGGCUGGUGAGCGCCCGCCAGAGGACCCCAAACUCUGAAAUUUAGUGUCGUCUGAGUACUAUAUAAUAGUUAAAACUUUCAACAACGGAUCUCUUGGUUCUGGCAUCGAUGAAGAACGCAGCGAAAUGCGAUAAGUAAUGUGAAUUGCAGAAUUCAGUGAAUCAUCGAAUCUUUGAACGCACAUUGCGCCCCUUGGUAUUCCGGGGGGCAUGCCUGUUCGAGCGUCAUUACAACCCUCAAGCUCUGCUUGGUAUUGGGCGUCCCCGGCAACGGGGUGCCCUAAAAUCAGUGGCGGUGCCGUCUGGCUCUAAGCGUAGUAAAUCUCUCGCUCUGGAUGCCCGGUGGAUGCUCGCCAGUAACCCCCAAUUUUUUACAGGUUGACCU
rnacentral:rRNA from 1 species